UACGUAGGGAGCAAGCGUUGUCCGGAAUCAUUGGGCGUAAAGCGCGCGUAGGUGGCCUCAUAAGUCCGCUGUGAAAGUCAAAGGCUCAACCUUUGAAAGCCGGUGGAUAGUGUGAGGCUAGAGUACGGAAGAGGCGAGUGGAAUUCCUGGUGUAGCGGUGGAAUGCGCAGAUAUCAGGAGGAACACCAAUAGCGAAGGCAGCUCGCUGGGACGUUACUGACACUGAGGCGCGAAAGCGUGGGGAGCGAACAGG
rnacentral:rRNA from 1 species